rnacentral:rRNA from 1 species
UGGGGAAUAUUGCACAAUGGGCGAAAGCCUGAUGCAGCAACGCCGCGUGAGUGAUGAAGGCCUUCGGGUUGUAAAGCUCUGUCUUCUGGGACGAUAAUGACGGUACCAGAGGAGGAAGCCACGGCUAACUACGUGCCAGCAGCCGCGGUAAUACGUAGGUGGCAAGCGUUGUCCGGAUUUACUGGGCGUAAAGGAUGCGUAGGCGGACCGAUAAGUCGGGGGUUAAAUCCAUGUGCUUAACACAUGCACGGCUUCCGAUACUGUCGGUCUAGAGUCUCGAAGAGGAAGGUGGAAUUUCCGGUGUAACGGUGGAAUGCGUAGAUAUCGGAAAGAACACCAGUGGCGAAGGCAGCCUUCUGGUCGAGAACUGACGCUCAUGCACGAAAGCGUGGGGAGCAAACA